rnacentral:rRNA from 1 species
UACCUAGCGGCGGACGGGUGAGUAACGCGUGGGAACGUGCCCUUUGGUUCGGAAUAGCCCCGGGAAACUGGGAGUAAUACCGGAUAAGCUCUGCGGAGGAAAGAAUUUCGCCGAAGGAUCGGCCCGCGUUGGAUUAGGUAGUUGGUGGGGUAAUGGCCCACCAAGCCGACGAUCCAUAGCUGGUUUGAGAGGAUGAUCAGCCACACUGGGACUGAGACACGGCCCAGACUCCUACGGGAGGCAGCAGUGGGGAAUCUUAGACAAUGGGGGAAACCCUGAUCUAGCCAUGCCGCGUGAGCGAUGAAGGCCUUAGGGUUGUAAAGCUCUUUCAGUGGGGAAGAUAAUGACUGUACCCACAGAAGAAGCCCCGGCUAACUCCGUGCCA